CAGCCGCCGCGGUAAUACGUAGGUGGCAAGCGUUAUCCGGAAUUAUUGGGCGUAAAGCGCGCGUAGGCGGUUUCUUAAGUCUGAUGUGAAAGCCCACGGCUCAACCGUGGAGGGUCAUUGGAAACUGGGAAACUUGAGUGCAGAAGAGGAAAGUGGAAUUCCAUGUGUAGCGGUGAAAUGCGCAGAGAUAUGGAGGAACACCAGUGGCGAAGGCGACUUUCUGGUCUGUAACUGACGCUGAUGUGCGAAAGCGUGGGGAUCAAACAGGAUUAGAUACCCCGGUAGUCCCUGUCUCUUAUAC
rnacentral:rRNA from 1 species